rnacentral:rRNA from 1 species
AAGACGGAAGGUGCAAGCGUUGCUCGGAAUCACUGGGCGUAAAGGGUGCGUAGGCGGCCGCGCAAGUCUGGCGUGAAAGCCCCGGGCUCAGCCCGGGAAGGGCACUCGAAACGGCGCGGCUGGAGUGCCGGAGGGGAGAGUGAAAUUCCUGGUGUAGCGGUGAAAUGCGUAGAUAUCAGGAGGAAUACCGGUGGCGAAAGCGACUCUCUGGACGGCAACUGACGCUGAGGCACGAAAGCGUGGGGAGCAAACAG